UACGAAGGGGGCUAGCGUUGUUCGGAUUUACUGGGCGUAAAGCGCACGUAGGCGGAUUGGUCAGUUAGGGGUGAAAUCCCAGAGCUCAACUCUGGAACUGCCCUUAAUACUGCCAGUCUAGAGUCCGGAAGAGGUGAGUGGAACUCCUAGUGUAGAGGUGGAAUUCGUAGAUAUUAGGAAGAACACCAGUGGCGAAGGCGGCUCACUGGUCCGGUACUGACGCUGAGGUGCGAAAGCGUGGGGAGCAAACAGA
rnacentral:rRNA from 1 species